AAAAAUUUAAAUCUCAAUUUGAUAAAAGUUAAAGAAAGCAAAAAGCAAAACAAUCACGGAGAGAAAAUUACUUGUCUAUAAGCCUGAUUUCGUUUCGACUCCGAUAUUUGUUGGUUAGCAAAGAAAUUUCAAUUUCGACCUUUCUACGAUACGUCCGUAAGUCGCUUAUUUUGAGGAGAAAAGUGCAUAUCAACAUUGUCCGUAUAAAUACUGACUUAGCGUCUUAAUAUAAGACGUAAGCCUGUGAAAAAGGUAGAAGAACAAUGAAGAUCGGUCAUUUAAAUAUUGCUGACGUCAGCAAUGAUACUUCGAUACAGAACUUAAACGUUGUAUUUUUGUGGAGUGAUUAGAGUUUAGUGUUUCCGCAAGUGUCUUAAGAAAGACGUAAAACUUAGCUGAAUCACAUAACGUCAUCAAGAUUUUAAAUAUCCUUUAAAUAUCCUUUCAAAAUCGUUUCCUUAUUUCUUCCAGUAUAACCGUAAUUGUAAAAUGUAUAUCUAUCUAAUCUGUUGCUUUGUUGAAAUACCAAAACGUUGUAGGCCUAGUAGAGAAAAGAAAAGGAGCCCGCGAUAAAAGUUUGCCAAUAAAAUCAUCAGCAUUCUAAGAGCCUUGUCUAAAUUAGGCAUGGGUAUUGAUUAUGUUGCUAUGGCUUCAGAGUGAUAAACACCCACAAGCGCAAUUCGUAUUACACGAGGAACGAUGAUAUUCUAUAUUUGGUUUCUAACAUACUGGUUAGAAACUAAUCCGUUGCUACUUGUAAUUUGAGAUAUUUCAUCAUGCCUCGAUGGAUCAUACAGUUUCAAUACGCGAAAAGAAGAAAUUAAGAUUUAAAAAUGAACGAUAUCAUUUUUGUCGUGUUUAUUGUCAUCGAACUGAUAAUAGUGUUAUUAGUCAGCGAAAUUUACUUUCAGUAUGUCAGCAAUUAUUUUGACAUUACAUAACGUCGUGAUGAAAAUGAGAAAGAAACAAGUGACACAAACUAAGAAAGAAAAACAAAAUAAAAUUUAUAAUCAUUUACGUAACGUUUUAAUAGAAUAUUUUUUUUAAUAUAGAUUUACAAGAUAUAUUGAAUUGCUUUAGAAAUAAUCAUUGUUGGGUGUUACGUGGUUAAGCUUUGCCAUUUAUUACCACGCAAUUGUUCAUUAUAGAACCUGGCUGUCACGACUAAUAAUUUUGGGAAUAUCCCCUGAUAUUUCUGAUAUUUAAAAAUAUCCCUUGAUAUAUAAUUGUAAUGGUUAGCACCCCCUAGGAAUUAAAAAAAAGAAAACUCUGAGAAUUCAUCUAGGACUACCACUUGGUAUAAAGUCAAAAUGUGAAGAAAUCACUAAUUAAAACUGGUUGUUUACUUGCAAGUUGGAAUUCAAAUUAGACACGAAUUUCUUACAAAAAUUAGAAAAGAUGUUUACAUGUUUACCAGAUUAAAACUAUACGAGAUACAGAAGAAGUCUAAAAAAUAGCUAACAUGACGAGGAAGGUUUUUUAGGUUAUGCCUAUAACCGGAAUCUUUUUUUUUUACUUAACCGACUGUGAACCAAAUUGUACCAGGAAUUAACUU